UGUUCCCACGGGGGGCAGCAGUGAGGAAUAUUGGUCAAUGGACGAGAGCCUGAACCAGCCAAGUAGCGUGAAGGAUGACUGCCCUAUGGGUUGUAAACUUCUUUUAUAUGGGAAUAAAAUGUUCCACGUGUGGGAUUUUGUAUGUACCAUAUGAAUAAGGAUCGGCUAACUCCGUGCCAGCAGCCGCGGUAAUACGGAGGAUCCGAGCGUUAUCCGGAUUUAUUGGGUUUACAGGGAGCGUAGGUGGAUUGUUAAGUCAGUUGCGAAAGUUUGCGGCUCAACCGUAAAAUGGCAGUUGA
rnacentral:rRNA from 1 species